UCCCUUUCAACAUUGAUAUCAUAUAACAAAGACCAAUAUGCAUUGUAUCAUCAGUAUACAGUGCAAGUGAUCUCGUCGAAUAUAAUUUUUUCAAGCUUUUGUGAUCAUAAUAUCCAACUAUCAAGGCAAAAUAGAAACUUUAAAAAGCUCAAUAACAGAUAUAUUAAAUCCAAAAUUUCAGUUUACUGGUGUCCUAAAUGUCAAAAACAAUGUCAAGGAGAAACAAAAUAUUUAAAUAGAUGCAGUAAAACAAGAAAACGUUUCCAUUGA